CAAAUUAAGGCUGGAAGUUUGGAGCGGUUCACGGUCGUGCAGGGGUUUUCCCUGUUGAGUUUGUCCAGCCAGUGGCUGCUCCAGACUUCAUAAACCUCCCUGUGGACAAGAAAGAGGAGCCCAAGAAUAAGCAGGGUCGUGUGGCAGCUUCUGCUGCUCUAGCUGUGGCUGUAGGCUCUACUGCUGCUGCCCAUGAGCUGGACCGCUCCAUUGAAGUGGCCUCACCAGUCAGUGAGUAUACAGAGGCCCAUCAAGACUACAGUGACAUGGAGAUUGAUGAAAGGAUUCUCCAUGACAGCCAAUACAACAUGGUGGAGUUUGCCAAAAAAUAUUUCAGAGAUGCUCAGAGAAAGACCAGUGAUUCUUAUAAGCAGAAAUCAAAGAAAGGAAAAGAAAC
ensembl:lncRNA